UUAAAAAGGAUUGACCAGGAGGUCCUCUCCUCAGGCUCUGCCCAAGUGGCAUAAGGGAACACAGGGCUCUGCCCUAUGAGGUACAGUUGCAUUCCACAAUUGAAUGAUGGAGAAGAAGGUGGGCCUUAAGUAUACACUUGCAUGUUCCUACAGCUUUUCAGGGUCCUGUGGACAAUGACUGAGAAAAUAAACAUUGCAGGACACAGUC
ensembl:snoRNA SNORA73 Small nucleolar RNA SNORA73 family